rnacentral:rRNA from 1 species
UACGUAGGGACCAAGCGUUGUUCGGAUUUACUGGGCGUAAAGGGCGCGUAGGCGGCCAUUCAAGUCAGUUGUGAAAUCUCCGAGCUUAACUCGGAACGGUCAACUGAUACUGUUUUGCUAGAGUACAGAAAGGGCAAUCGGAAUUCUUGGUGUAGCGGUGAAAUGCGUAGAUAUCAAGAGGAACACCUGAGGCGAAGGCGGGUCUCUGGGCAACAACUGACGCUGAGGAGCGAAAGCGUGGGGAGCGAACAGG